UUCAAGGUUAACCCGAUGAGGGGAAGCCGGAGCGAAAGCGAGUCUGAACAGGGCGUUCAGUCGCAUGCCGUAGACCCGAAGCCGAGUGAGCUAUCCAUGGGCAGUGUGAAGCGGAGGUAAGACUCUGUGGAGGCGCGAACCGACUUCAGUUGAAAAUGGAGCGGAUGACCUGUGGAUAGGGGUGAAAGGCCAAUCAAACUCGGUGAUAGCUGGUUCUCCGCGAAAUGCAUUUAGGUGCAGCGUCGUGCGUUCAACGAUGGGGGUAGAGCACUGAAUGGGCUAGGGGUCCUACAAGACUACCGACCCCAAUCAAACUCCGAAUACCAUCGUUCCAGAGCACGGCAGUGAGACCUCGGGGGAUGAGCUUCGAGGUCGAGAGGGAAACAGCCCAGACCGCCGGCUAAGGUCCCAAAAUCUGAACUAAGUGGUAAACGAUGUGAGAUUGCGAAGACAGCCAGGAGGUUGGCUUGGAAGCAGCCAUCCUUGAAAGAGUGCGUAACAGCUCACUGGUCGAGUGAUCUUGCGCGGACAAUGUAACGGGGCUCAAGUUCAGUACCGAAGCCGCGGAUGCGACUCUUUGAGCCGUGAGGUAGCGGAGCGUCGAGCGUGCAGCGAAGCGGCGGGACAACCCAGCCGUGGAGCGCGUUCGAGUGCGAAUGUUGGCAUGAGUAGCGAAUGAGGGGUGAGAACCCCCUCCGCCGUAUGUCCAAGGGUUCCUGGGCGAGGCCAAUCCUCCCAGGGUGAGUCGGGAGCUAAGGCGAGGCCGAGAGGCGUAGUCGAUGCACAACUGGUUGAUAUUCCAGUACCACCAUGUUCGCGUCCGUCCCAAUACUCUGUUGCUAAGGGGCUGUGUUGACUUCGGUCAACGCGAACCGACCCACAUUGUUGCGGGAAGCUGUAGGGGGACGCAGGAAGGUAGAUGAACCCGGUGUUGGUAGAACCGGGGUAAGCGUGUAGGAGGAGGACCAGGUAAAUCCGGGCCUCAUAAACUCUGAGACGUGAUACCGAGCCGCUUCAGGCGAAGUCAUUGAUCCUAUGCUGCCUAGAAAAGCCCAGCAGCGAGUUGACAUGGUGCCCGUACCCAAACCAACACAGGUGGACAGGUAGAGCAUACCAAGGCGAGUGGGAUAACUAUGGUUAAGGAACUCGGCAAAUUGCCUCCGUAACUUCGGGAGAAGGAGGACCCCAGUAGCGUGAUGAGACUUGCUCUCUGAGCGUGAAGGGGUGGCACAAAAUUGAGGGAAGCGACUGUUUACCAAAAACACAGCAGCGUGCUAAGCCGUAAGGCGCUGUAUACGCUGUGACUCCUGCCCGGUGCUGGAAGGUUACGGGGAUGGGUUAGUCCUUCGGGACGAAGCUCUGAACCUAAGCCCCAGUAAACGGCGGCCGUAACUAUAACGGUCCUAAGGUAGCGAAAUUCCUUGUCGGGUAAGUUCCGACCUGCACGAAUGGAGUAACGACUUCCCUACUGUCUCAACCAUAGACCCAGCGAAAUUGAAGUACGAGUAAAGAUGCUCGUUAGCUGCAGAAGGACGGAAAGACCCCGUGGACCUUUACUAUAACUUGAUGUUGUGUUUU
rnacentral:rRNA from 1 species